rnacentral:rRNA from 1 species
UACGAAGGGGGCUAGCGUUGCUCGGAAUCACUGGGCGUAAAGCGCACGUAGGCGGCUUCUUAAGUCAGGGGUGAAAUCCUGGAGCUCAACUCCAGAACUGCCUUUGAUACUGAGGAGCUUGAGUCCGGGAGAGGUGAGUGGAACUGCGAGUGUAGAGGUGAAAUUCGUAGAUAUUCGCAAGAACACCUAUGGCGAAGGCAGCUCUCUGGGACGGUACUGACGCUGAGACGCGAAAGCGUGGGGAGCGAACAGG